ensembl:snRNA
AAAAAGGGCUUCUGUCAUGAGUGACACACGUGGGGCAACUCGUUUGUUCUUUGUGCGGAAUCGAAACCAAGAGAUUUCGGAAGCAUAAUUUUUUGAUAAUUGGGCAGCCAGUGAUCAUUAUUCCUGGUGCCCCA